rnacentral:rRNA from 1 species
AUUGAACGCUGGCGGCAUGCCUUACACAUGCAAGUCGAACGGCAGCACGGGAGCAAUCCUGGUGGCGAGUGGCGAACGGGUGAGUAAUAUAUCGGAACGUGCCCAGUCGUGGGGGAAAACGUAGCGAAAGCUACGCUAAUACCGCAUACGAUCUAUGGAUGAAAGCGGGGGAUCGCAAGACCUCGCGCGAUUGGAGCGGCCGAUAUCAGAUUAGGUAGUUGGUGAGGUAAAGGCUCACCAAGCCGACGAUCUGUAGCUGGUCUGAGAGGACGACCAGCCACACUGGGACUGAGACACGGCCCAGACUCCUACGGGAGGCAGCAGUGGGGAAUUUUGGACAAUGGGCGAAAGCCUGAUCCAGCAAUGCCGCGUGCAGGAUGCAGGCCUUCGGGUUGUAAACUGCUUUUGUACGGAACGAAACGGCGAGCUCUAAUACAGUUUGCUAAUGACGGUACCGUAAGAAUAAGCACCGGCUAACUACGUGCCAGCAGCCGCGGUAA